AUGAUGUGCACAGCUGUGUUUGCUCGGGGAGGCCUGGUGCCCAGUCCGGAGCCCCUGAGACAGUCUCCAGGGCCCCUGAGAUGCAGAGCCGCCACCGAGAGAGAGGCUCGGGCCGGGCGGGUCCUUCCCAGGGCGGUCAGGGGCCACACAGAGCUGCAUGGCGCCCACACCCUCCGUGGAUUCUGUAGGCGACGGCCAGUUCGCCAGCCGGGAAGAAAGCGGCAUUGUCCGCGGCCCGCUCUGCACAGCCGCGUUCACAUCUCGCUGUUGUUUGCAGGAGCGGCAGAUGUGGUCCCGAACAAUGGGGCCCCCUCGCAGGGCGCGGCGGUGACAGACUCCAAGCGCACAGCGGACCCGAAGAAUGCCUGGCCCGAGGCCAGCCCAGCUGACCCGGGCGGCCGCCCCCACCUGGUCCGCCUCUUUUCCCGAGAUGCCCCGGGCCGGGAGGACAACACCUUCAAAGACCGGCCCUCGGAAUCAGACGAGCUCCAGACCAUCCAGGAGGACAGCGCGGCCGCUCCCGGGGCGGUGGACGCGAUGGCGGCCCAGAAGAGACCCUCCCAGAGAUCCAAGUACCUGGCCUCGGCGAGCACCAUGGACCACGCCAGGCACGGCUUCCUCCCCAGACACAGAGACACGGGCAUCCUCGACUCCCUCGGCCGCUUCUUUGGCUCGGACAGGGGUGCGCCGAAGCGGGGCUCCGGCAAGGAUGGACACCACGCGGCCAGAACCACCCACUAUGGCUCCCUGCCCCAGAAGGCGCAGCACGGCCGGCCCCAAGACGAAAACCCCGUAGUGCACUUCUUCAAGAACAUCGUGACACCUCGCACACCUCCUCCAUCGCAAGGAAAGGGGCGAGGACUGUCCCUCAGCAGAUUUAGCUGGGGGGCUGAGGGCCAGAAGCCAGGAUUCGGCUAUGGAGGCAGAGCAUCUGACUACAAAUCGGCUCACAAGGGACUCAAGGGGCAUGACGCCCAGGGCACGCUUUCCAGAAUCUUCAAGCUGGGAGGACGAGACAGCCGUUCCGGGUCCCCGAUGGCAAGACGCUGAAGCCCAGCUCCCCUCCCGAACCCCGUCCCCAGCUUCUUAAUACAACCGCCUCGACACUAACCAUUGUCUAAAUUCCCUAGUGCAGCCGGCGCCCCCCCAACCCUGCCCAUACGCACGUCCUGCGGGCUCCUGGCCAGUGGCUCAAUGGAGAAG
rnacentral:lncRNA from 1 species